GACGAACGCUGGCGGCGUGCCUAAUACAUGCAAGUUGAGCGAUGAAGAUUGGUGCUUGCACCAAUUUGAAGAGCAGCGAACGGGUGAGUAACGCGUGGGGAAUCUGCCUUUGAGCGGGGGACAACAUUUGGAAACGAAUGCUAAUACCGCAUAAUAACUUUAAACAUAAGUUUUAAGUUUGAAAGAUGCAAUUGCAUCACUCAAAGAUGAUCCCGCGUUGUAUUAGCUAGUUGGUGAGGUAAAGGCUCACCAAGGCGAUGAUACAUAGCCGACCUGAGAGGGUGAUCGGCCACAUUGGGACUGAGACACGGCCCAAACUCCUACGGGAGGCAGCAGUAGGGAAUCUUCGGCAAUGGACGGAAGUCUGACCGAGCAACGCCGCGUGAGUGAAGAAGGUUUUCGGAUCGUAAAACUCUGUUGGUAGAGAAGAACGUUGGUGAGAGUGGAAAGCUCAUCAAGUGACGGUAACUACCCAGAAAGGGACGGCUAACUACGUG
rnacentral:rRNA from 1 species